GCGGGAACAUGCGCUGCUACACAUGCAGUCGAACGGAGGCCCUAGCUUGCUAGGUGUCCUUAGUGGCGAACGGGUGACUAUCGCGUGGGGAUCUGCCCUAGAGUGGGGAACAACCUUUGGACACGAAGGCUAAUACCGCAUACGCCCUUUUGGGGAAAGGCUUCGGCCGCUCUUGGAUGAUCCCGCGUCUGAUUAGCUUGUUGGUGAGGUAACGGCUCACCAAGGCGACGAUCAGUAGCUGGUCUGAGAGGAUGAUCAGCCACACUGGGACUGAGACACGGCCCAGACUCCUACGGGAGGCAGCAGUGGGGAAUAUUGGACAAUGGGGGAAACCCUGAUCCAGCAAUGCCGCGUGAGUGAAGAAGGCCCUAGGGUUGUAAAACUCUUUCACUGAUGAAGAUGAUGACGGUAAUCAGAGAAGAAGCCCCGGCUAACUCCGUGCCAGCAGCCGCGGUAAUACGGAGGGGGCUAGCGUUGUUCGGAUUUACUGGGCGUAAAGCGCACGUAGGCGGCGUAUCUAGUCAGAGGUGAAAGCCCGGGGCUCAACCCCGGAACUGCCUUUGAUACUGGUAUGCUUGAGUUCGGAAGAGGGUAGUGGAAUUCCAAGUGUAGAGGUGAAAUUCGUAGAUAUUUGGAAGAACACCGGUGGCGAAGGCGGCUACCUGGUCCGAUACUGACGCUGAGGUGCGAAAGCGUGGGGAGCGAACAGGAUUAGAUACCCUGGUAGUCCACGCCGUAAACGAUGAGUGCUAGUUGUCGGGAUGCAUGCAUUUCGGUGACGUAGUUAACGCGUUAAGCACUCCGCCUGGGGAGUACGGUCGCAAGAUUAAAACUCAAA
rnacentral:rRNA from 1 species